rnacentral:rRNA from 1 species
GUAGGUGGCAAGCGUUGUCCGGAAUUAUUGGGCGUAAAGCGCGCGCAGGCGGUUCUUUAAGCCUGAUGUGAAAGCCCACGGCUCAACCGUGGAGGGUCAUUGGAAACUGGAGAACUUGAGUGCAGAAGAGGAAAGCGGAAUUCCACGUGUAGCGGUGAAAUGCGUAGAGAUGUGGAGGAACACCAGUGGCGAAGGCGGCUUUCUGGUCUGUAACUGACGCUGAGGCGCGAAAGCGUGGGGAGCAAACAGGAUUAGAUACCCUGGUAGUCCACGCCGUAAACGAUGAGUGCUAAGUGUUAGGGGGGUUUCCGCCCCCCUUAGUGCUGCAGCUAACGCAUUAAGCACUCCGCCUGGGAGUACGGCCGCAAGGCUG